UGAUAACUCAGACCAAGUGGCAGUUGAUGUGGAAAUAUGUGUCUCCCUCAAAUAUCAUAUUGGCUCUUCUAUAAGGGAUUUCUUAUUAUUCCUUUAGUUAUUAUUUCUCCUAUCAUCUAAUGUCAUGUAUAUUAGUUGUUUUUAUAUUCUAAUUCUUUGUUAAUUAUUUCUUAAGCUCCUCAUUCUUUGUAACUGUAUAUAUUCAGCCCUUCUAUAUUAUUUUAGAUAAUUGAAUGAAAACGGUGAAUAUAUCUUAUUACUCUCUCAAAAAAGGGUUUCUCCUAAUCUCUCUAUUUUAGAAAUAGUCUGAUUUAGUAUCAGAGCCAUCAGUGGCCAACAUCAAUUUAUCUUUUGCUUCUGUUUCAUCUCAAGUAGCUUCAGUAGGAAUGACGACUCCACCACUCAAUCAGCUACUCAAUCAAAUCACUUCCAUCAAGAUGGAUACGAAGAACUUUCUUCUGUAGCAGAAUUUAGCAUGGCUAGUCCUCCGUAACCAUCGAUUGGAGGGUUAUUUAACUGAUGAUAAUCCUUGCCCUAGUAAGACUUUUACCAAGGUGACCGUCGAUGGUGAAGGAUCUAGCACUACUGUAAGUGAAGAAGUGGCGAAUCCAGCAUAGUUGCUAUUGAUCAGUGUUUGAAUGCCUUGAAUUUGUUUGUUGACACUUCGAACAAUCAAGUAUGGCCUCCGAAACCUAUUCAAAUUCAUAUUUAACAUAUCUAUUUAUUUAUAGUUAUUUACAAUUAUGAUAUUAGGAUUUCGAAUAGUGCGCUAUAUAAACUCUCUACCCUAGAUACACCAUUUGUAUAUAAUCAUGUAUAAUUUUGUGUCGAUUUUUGUACGUUCUUUUAUAUUCUUUAAUUGUCGUUUUCGUAACAAUCAGCUUAUUUUGGGUUUACUAUACAACCCAAUGUCUCAAGAAAUAACUACCCAGGUUAUGGGUUUUCAGUCAACUCGUAGUAUAUGGGAAGUCGUCCAAGAGCUCUUCGGCAUGCAAUCCAAAGCUGAAGUUGAUCAUCUAAAGUGAAUUUUCCAAGAAACGUGGAAAGGAUCGAUGAAAAUAGAAGAGUAUUUAGCUACGAUGAAAAAUACUCUGACGGUCUUGCCCUUGCGGGUAACCCCAUUAUGGGGCUUGAGUACCAGAUGACGAUGAAGACAGGUUUGUCUAAUUUGUCUCUUCAUGCUAAUGUUUCUCCUUCUGUUAAUGUGGUGCAAAAUAUUCAGCAACAUCAGCAUUCAAAUCAACAAGCGUAAGGAAACCAAAACUUUGGUUCCAAAGGGAACAAGAGUCGAGGGAAAAGUAGGUGGAAUGAUCCCUCUACAAAUCGUCCAUUAUGUCAAAUUUGUAGCAAGUUGGGCCACACUGCUGAUAUUUGUUUUCUUCGAUACAAUCCAAUGUUGAAUAAUCCUAAGCAAACUCAAAAGUAUAUUGAGUCCACCUAUACCAUGUCUAUCCUUCAGAAUAAAUGUUUUCUUCAACCUGCUUAGAAUUCAUUUGCAUUUUUUACUAAUUCUGGUAUAGCAAAUCCUGAGAGUGUGGUUGAUCCAAGCUGGUAUACUGAUAAUGAGGCUUCAAGUCAUGUUGCAACAAGCCCAAAUCAUAUCACCUCUUCUUCUGGAUACACAGGACAACCACGGGAAAAGUGCUACUGAAAGGGGGUCUUUAGAGAUGGACUGUAUCGGAUGGAACAACCCAGCCAGUUAAUAAAUAAGAAUCAAGUAGUGUUGCUCACUACUCCUUGUUAGGCUGACAAUCAGUCUUCAAGAUCUAAUUUGUCAUUAUCUACUGUUUGUUCUUUAUCUGUACACAAAUGACUAAGUUUUUGUUAUACAAAAGGUUUGGUCAUCCAUCUUUAAAUGUUCUUAACAAAGUUAUUCAGCAGUGUAAUUUGAAGAUCCCAGCUAAUGAAACACUUGAGUUUUGUGAAUCUUGUCAAUUUGGCAAAACCCAUA